UCCCUGGUGGCUCAGAUGGUAGAGCAUCUGCCUAGAAUGCAGGAGACCCAGGUUUGAUCCCUGAGUCAGGAA
rnacentral:tRNA from 1 species